CCCGGCUGAGAGAUGAACAGGCAUUUUUGUUUUCUUCUUGGCACCCUGAAUCAAUUGCCAGAAAUCGCCUGCCUCCACAAAUGCUGCACUCCGCGGGGAACGGAUAACUCCGCGGUCUCCCCUCCCCUCCUCGGGCAUCUCCUACGCGGACCAGGGCUGGGGUGGUGGCGGGGGCGGUGUUGACUGUGGAGCCCGCGCUGCUGCCUCUUCCUCCGCUUUGGGAGCUCACGAGGUCUGGCGCUGCUUGCUGGAUGCCCUCUAGGGGGUGGGGUCCUCGCAGCCACUGUCCUCAGCUGUGGGUGAUGGAAACGCAGCAGCACUCAGCAGCCUGUUCUCACACCCGGCUGCCAAGGGAGCUCUUGCACAAUCCUCUAGUUUCCCAGGGUCGCUUUUCGAAAUCUGUGAUUAUGGGAAAGAAGAGCCAGGUCCUCUCUGAGAACAGGGUGUUCGGUUUACACACACAUUUAUUACCUAUGGAGUCCUGUCAAACCACACUGUGUAAAACAUGUUUGCAAAAUCUCCUGUGAGUGACUCACUCGUAUGUUUCCUGAAAGAACUGGGCAAAUGGACCAGAACUCAGGCUGCCCAGGGUGCCUCGUUCCUGAACCAUCCGACCUGGGAGGAGCCAGUGCACUGAGACCUUCCUUUACUCUCUGCAGGGUGGACUUAGACCGUCCAAAACAGUCUCAUGUGGAGUCUGCAAAAACCUCACGUUACCCUUCAGUAAAGAUGCCUACAGAACUCCUUCCUCCUUCUGUUCACUCUUCAACUCCCACUUCAUGCUCCCCCAGCACGCGGCAGGAGCUGGGCCAGGCCCUGGGGAUCUGAGACAGACAAGACCCGUGCUCUCACGUGAGGAACAUUCCACUGGAGAGUUAUGACUAAGCUAAUCAGUAUUUAAGAGAAUUGAAUUAAAAUAUAUCGUACAUUUAUUUGUUUAUGUGCCAGAACACGCAGUGUGAGCUCUGUGACCUGAGGCUAAGAAUCUCAAGGCUCCAUCCUCACAGAGGAGAUCUGAAUUUCAGCUUUGCCACUGUGACAGGAUCUGUGAGCUGGGCUGCCCCCCUGGACAGCAGAGUGACACUUCACUGUGAAACUAAGCGUAUGCACGCCAGCUCUGUCCCUCCUGUGAUACACAUGGCGUGGUGCAGGUCAUUGCAGAGUAUUAAGAAGAGUUCCCUCUGCUAUGUGGUAGGUCCUUAUUUAUCUAUUUUAUAUAUACUAUUAUGUGUUGGUCAAUCUCAGUCUCCCAAUUUAUUCCUCCUCACCCCCUGCUUUAUCCCCUGGAUACUACAAGGUUUUUUCCCUACAUCUGUGACUCUACCUUAAAGGAUUUUUUAUUUUUUUAAUAUAAAUUUAUUUAUUUUAAUUGGAGGCUAAUUACUUUACAAUAUUGUAUUGGUUUUGCCACACAUCAACAUGAAUC